GGUUGAUCCUGCCAGCAGUCAUAUGCUUGUCUUAAAAAUUAAGCCAUGCAAGUCUAAGUAUAAACGAAUUUAUUCAGUGAGACUGCAGAAGGCUCAUUAUAUCAGUUAUUGUCUAUGCGAUGGGCAAUUACUACAUGGAUAACUGUAGUAAUUCUAGAGCUAAUACAUGCCAUAAAGCAUCUCUCUGAGGUGUGGCCUUAUUAGAACUAAAGCCAGCCCGAUUAUUCGGAGUAGAAUUUCUGCCCUAUCAGCUUUGGAUGGUAGUGUAGUGGACUACCAUGGCUUUUACGGG
rnacentral:rRNA from 1 species